rnacentral:rRNA from 1 species
UGGGGAAUAUUGCACAAUGGGCGAAAGCCUGAUGCAGCAACGCCGCGUGAGGGAAGACGGUUUUCGGAUUGUAAACCUCUGUUUUCGGUGACGAACAAAUGACGGUAACCGAGUAGGAAGCCACGGCUAACUACGUGCCAGCAGCCGCGGUAAUACGUAGGUGGCAAGCGUUAUCCGGAAUUACUGGGUGUAAAGGGAGCGCAGGCGGGAUAGCAAGUCAGCUGUGAAAACUAUGGGCUCAACCCAUAAACUGCAGUUGAAACUGUUAUUCUUGAGUGGAGUAGAGGCAAGCGGAAUUCCGAGUGUAGCGGUGAAAUGCAUAGAUAUCACGCAGAACUCCGAUUGCGAAGGCAGCAUACCGGCGCUCAACUGACGCUGAGGCACGAAAGCGUGGGGAUCAAACAGGAUUAGAUACCCUGGUAGU